AUUGAACGCUGGCGGCAGGCCUAACACAUGCAAGUCGAACGGCAGCACAGAAGAGCUUGCUCUUUGGGUGGCGAGUGGCGGACGGGUGAGUAAUGUCUGGGAAACUGCCCGAUGGAGGGGGAUAACUACUGGAAACGGUAGCUAAUACCGCAUAACGUCGCAAGACCAAAGUGGGGGACCUUCGGGCCUCACACCAUCGGAUGUGCCCAGAUGGGAUUAGCUAGUAGGUGGGGUAAUGGCUCACCUAGGCGACGAUCCCUAGCUGGUCUGAGAGGAUGACCAGCCACACUGGAACUGAGACACGGUCCAGUAUCCUAAGGGAGGAAGCAGUGGGGAAUAUUGCACAAUGGGCGCAAGCCUGAUGCAGCCCUGCCGCGUGUAUGAAGAAGGCCUUCGGGUUGUAAAGUACUUUCAGCGGGGAGGAAGGCGGUGAGGUUAAUAACCUCGCCGAUUGACGUUACCCGCAGAAGAAGCACCGGCUAACUCCGUGCCAGCCGCCGCAGUAAGAC
rnacentral:rRNA from 1 species